rnacentral:rRNA from 1 species
UACGGUGGGAGCUAGCGUUAUUCGGAAUUACUGGGCGUAAAGCGCACGUAGGCGGCUUUGUAAGUAAGAGGUGAAAGCCCAGAGCUCAACUCUGGAAUUGCCUUUUAGACUGCAUCGCUUGAAUCAUGGAGAGGUCAGUGGAAUUCCGAGUGUAGAGGUGAAAUUCGUAGAUAUUCGGAAGAACACCAGUGGCGAAGGCGGCUGACUGGACAUGUAUUGACGCUGAGGUGCGAAAGCGUGGGGAGCAAACAGG